AGCCCAAAUCUGAAGCAAGCUAGAUUAGUAAGGUCAACUGAUCCUACUACUCUACUGUACUCCAAAAUUUGGCUC
rnacentral:pre_miRNA from 1 species